rnacentral:rRNA from 1 species
UUAGGUGACGAUGGCAAGAGGGAUACACCCGUUCCCAUCUCGAACACGGAAGUUAAGUCUCUUAGCGUCGAAAAUACUUGCCGGGCAGCUGGCUGGGAAGAUAGAACGUUGCCUAUU